ACGUCGUAACUCCACCUUAAAUCUGACUGUUGUAGCAGGUGCAUGGAAAUCAGCAGCUGCUGGAUCAAUCACUGCUGUUCUCCUGGCUCUCAUCCUCCUCGCUGUCUUCCUGUGGAUCAGAAGAGAUAACUCCUUCACACAGCAGUGUAAGUGUGGAGAGAGACCUGACACCAGAGCACAGGUGAGAAAGAAG